rnacentral:rRNA from 1 species
UUGCCUGCCCUAUGUAUUUUUAUAAAUGGCCGCAGUAAAUUGACUGUGCUAAGGUAGNAUAANNNUUAGCCUUAUAAUUGGAGGAUUGUUUGAAUGGUGUUACUUGAUAAUUGUUUUUAGAUGCUUUUUAUUUUUGAAUUUGGUUUGUUGGUGUAGAGCCCAGUUUGUUUUAAUUAGACGGAAAGACCCCAAGAGCUUUAGAAUGUUUUGUUAUUUUGUUUGGGGCCUAAGCAAGUUUUUACGUGUUUUUUGAUCCUUUGCGGAUAAAAGGUUUAAGUUACCUUGGGGAUAACUAGGUAAUUAAUAAGGAGAGUUCAUAUCGAUUUAUUUGUUUGCCAUCUCGAUGUUGACUUAGGGUUAGUGUAAAGGUGUAGGUUUUUUUAUACUUAGGUCUGUUCGACCUUUAGUCCCUUCAUGAGUUGAGUUAAGACCGGA